GCCGUGAAGAGGAAGAAAGAGAGACCUUAAGAGCGCUAGGAAUGGGAACAUGGAGAAAAACCAAACUUAUUUGUUUUCACCCGUGUCGGAGGUGAAAAUAUUAUGUUUGAUAUUUUUCUGAUGCCUCCCAUUCCUAUGGUUCUUGAGCACUCCUUCCUCUUCAUUUUGGCA
rfam:Triticum aestivum genome assembly, contig: Triticum_aestivum_CS42_TGACv1_scaffold_031481_1BL